GAUGAACGCUAGCGGCAGGCCUAACACAUGCAAGUCGAGGGGCAGCACAGAAACAGCAAUGUUUUGGUGGCGACCGGCGGACGGGUGCGUAACGCGUAUGCAACCUACCUUUAACAGGGGGAUAACGGAGAGAGAUUUCCACUAAUACCACAUAACAUCGAUCAAGAAAUCUUGAUUGGUUGAAAACUCCGGUGGUUAAAGAUGGGCAUGCGUUGUAUUAGGUAGUUGGUGGGGUAAUGGCUCACCAAGCCUACGAUACAUAGGGGGACUGAGAGGUUAGCCCCCCACACUGGUACUGAGACACGGACCAGACUCCUACGGGAGGCAGCAGUGAGGAAUAUUGGUCAAUGGGGGCAACCCUGAACCAGCCAUGCCGCGUGCAGGAAGACGGCUCUAUGAGUUGUAAACUGCUUUUAAACAGGGAUAAAGCACAGUAUGUAUACUGUGUUGAAGGUACUGUAAGAAUAAGGAUCGGCUAACUCCGUGCCAGCCGCCGCGGUAA
rnacentral:rRNA from 1 species